GAGAGAGAGAGAGAGAGAGGACAUAAGUACUUGAAGAUUAAAUAUAUAUCUCAAAAUUCACACUUGUACCUUCAAAAUAAAAAUCCUUAAACAUUAAGAAUAACUAAAACUACGCCACAAAACCCAGUUUAUCAGCUCUACUGAAUGCAUGAUGUAACAUGACUGUGUACCCACAACUUCAAAAUGCAAAUUUACAAAUGCAGAACAGUGUAAGAAAACCUGUAGAACACUUUGAGUAGCACA
rnacentral:misc_RNA from 1 species